GAUGAACGCUAGCGGCAGGCCUAACACAUGCAAGUCGAGGGAGAAGCCCUUCGGGGCAGAAACCGGCGCACGGGUGCGUAACGCGUAUGCAACCUACCUUUCACAGGGGGAUAGCCCGAAGAAAUUUGGAUUAAUACCCCAUAAUAUUAUUGGAUGGCAUCAUUUGAUAAUUAAAACUGAGGUGGUGAAAGAUGGGCAUGCGUCCUAUUAGCUAGUUGGAGUGGUAACGGCACCCCAAGGCUACGAUAGGUAGGGGUCCUGAGAGGGAGAUCCCCCACACUGGUACUGAGACAGGGACCAGACUCCUACGGGAGGCAGCAGUGAGGAAUAUUGGUCAAUGGUCGGAAGACUGAACCAGCCAUGCCGCGUGCAGGAAGAAUGCCUUAUGGGUUGUAAACUGCUUUUAUAUGGGAAGAAUAAGGAGUACGUGUACUUNGANGACGGU
rnacentral:rRNA from 1 species